UACAGAGGGGGCAAGCGUUAUUCGGAAUUAUUGGGCGUAAAGAGCGCGCAGGCGGUCGUUCAAGUCGCGUGUGAAAGCCCCCGGCUCAACCGGGGAGGGUCGUCGGGGACCGCACCGCUUGAGGGCGGUAGGGGCUGGUGGAAUUCCUGGUGUAGCGGUGAAAUGCGCAGAUAUCAGGAAGAACACCGGUGGCGAAGGCGGCCCACUGGUCCGGUACUGACGCUGAGGUGCGAAAGCGUGGGGAGCAAACAGG
rnacentral:rRNA from 1 species